GGGGGGGGGGGGGGGCGGGGCGGGCGCGGGCGGGGCGAGCGAGGGCUGCGGGGCUGGUGGCGCGCGGGUGCGUAACGCGGGGGACCCUGCCCUUAGGUUCGCACUACCUCCCCGACAGGGGUGCUAGUACCGGCUACUGUCUUCGGACCAAAGAUUUAUCGCCUUUGGAUGGGCCCGCGUUGGAUUAGCUAGUUGGUAGGGUAAAAGCCUACCAAGGCGACGAUCCAUAGCUGGUCUGAGAGGAUGAUCAGCCACACUGGGACUGAGACACGGCCCAGACUCCUACGGGAGGCAGCAGUGGGGAAUAUUGGACAAUGGGCGAAAGCCUGAUCCAGCAAUGCCGCGUGAGUGAUGAAGGCCUUAGGGUUGUAAAGCUCUUUUACCCGGGAUGAUAAUGACAGUACCGGGAGAAUAAGCUCCGGCUAACUCCGUG
rnacentral:rRNA from 1 species